rnacentral:lncRNA from 1 species
GAAUGCUUUCUUCACUCUCUGCUGAUAUAACUUGACCAUGACACAUGGCAGUUGAUCUUUUCGUUCUUUCCGUCGAAUUCAGCAUUAGUCAACUUGGGAUUUUAAGGGUGCUAUCUUUCUUUUGUUUUUUUUUCUUUUGAUUUUGCUUUUGAUUUUGCUUUCUUUUGAUUUCUUUUGAUUUCUUUUGAUUUCUUUUGAUUUCUUUUGAUUUUGCACCCUCCUCUUUCUUUUUUUCUCUUUUUUUUCUUUUUGAUAAUGCCCCAGUUGGCUGUUCUGCUGAUUCUCGAGAUGCAGCUGAGUGUGAUCUUCUUUUCUCGCUCAAGAAGUCGGGAAAUCUCGUCAGGAAUCCCUUCAACAUCAUCUUCUUCCGC